AGACCACAACCAGUCUCACUGUUUGGCCCAGGCUGGAGUGCAGUGAUGCCAUCAUGACUCACUGCAGCCUCGACCUCCCAGGCUCAAGCCAUCCUCCCACCUCAGCCUCCCAAGUAGCUGGACCUGGAGUGGCUGGGACUACAGCCACACACCACCACACUCGGUUAAUUUUUUAAAGUUUUUCUGUAGAGAUAGCGUCUCACUAUGUUGCCAAGGCUGGUCUCCAACUCCUGGACUUAAGCGAUCCUCCCACCUUAACCUCCCAAAGUGCUGGGAUUACAGGCAUGAGCCACCAUGCCCAGCCAAGAUUUUUUUUAAAGUAACACUAAAGUACUGUAUCAAAGAAUAGAAAGAAACAUAAUUUUUUUUUUUUUUUUUUUGAGACAGAGUUUCGCUCUUGUCACCCAGGCUGGAGGGCCAUGGCUUGAUCUCGUGAUCUCGGCUCACUGCAACCUCUGCCUCCCGGGUUCAAGCAAUUCUCCUGCCUCAGCCUCCCGAGUAGCUGGGAUUACAGGCACCUGCCACCACGCCCGGCUAAGUUUUGUAUUUUUAGUAAAGACGGGGCUUCACCACGUUGGCCAGGCUGGUCUCGGACUCCUGACCUCAGGUGAUCCACCCGCCUCGGCCUCCCAAAGUGCUGGGAUUACAGGCGUGAGCCACUUCACCUGGCCAAUAUUUUUAUAUUUUUCUCAAACAUAUUUGUUUAAUUUGCCCUACUGUUAAUUACUACUAAUUGUCGCUGUUCACUAGUCCUGUUGUUUUGCUUAAAUAAUAAUAUUCAUGGAACAAAAAAGUAAAAAAUAUAAAAUAAUGUAUAAUUUCAAGUAAACCUUUACUUCUUAUUUUUAUAUUAAAGUAGUAACAUAUAGGCAUAUA
rnacentral:lncRNA from 1 species